AGCGAACGCUGGCGGCAGGCCUAACACAUGCAAGUCGAACGAAGUCUUCGGACUUAGUGGCGGACGGGUGAGUAACACGUGGGAACGUGCCUUUAGGUUCGGAGUAACUCAGGGAAACUUGUGACAAUACCGAAUGUGUCCUUCGGGGGAAAGAUUUAUCGCCUUUAUAGCGACCCGCGUCUGAUUAGCUAGUUGGUGAGGUAAAGGCUCACCAAGGCUACGAUCAGUAGCUGGUCUGAGAGGAUGACCAGCCACAUUGGGACUGAGACACGGCCGAAACUCCUACGGGAGGCAGCAGUGGGUAAUCGUGCGCAAUGGGCGAAAGCCUGACGCAGCCAUGCCGCGUGGAUGAUGAAAGUCUUAGGAUUGUAAAAUCCUUUCACCGGUGAAGAUAAUGACUGUAGCCGGAGAAGAAGCCCCGGCUAACUUCGUGCCAGCAGCCGCAGUAAAAC
rnacentral:rRNA from 1 species